AACUGCUAAAAAUAGUAAACUGUGCGAAAACUAAAAAAUUGAAAGAAGCAAUGGUGGGGGUCCAAGUGGAAUAGGUGGGUGGCCACCAAUAUCCACCUGGAUCAAUCCAACUAUUUAAUUAAAACAGAGCAUUGUGAUGGUCCUUGUAGAUGCUGACGCAAUGUGAUUUAUACACAGUGCUCUGCUUGUGAAAGUGAAGAAAUUCAACCAAGCGCGGUAAAUGACGAGAGUAACUAUGACUCUCGUAAGGUAGACAGAUGCCUCGUCAUCUAAUUAGUGACAUGCGUGAAUGGAUUUAAUAGAUUCCCAUUGUCCCCAGAUACUAUCUAUAGAAACCAUAGCCAACUGAUAUUAG
rfam:Picea glauca, whole genome shotgun sequence.